rnacentral:tRNA from 1 species
AAGGUAGCCGUACGAGAACGUGCGGCUGGAUCACCUCCUUUUUAAGGAGUAAACAUGCGUUUUAAGUCUACUUAAAACGAGAUGUUAAUGGUCGACUUUGGAUUGUAAUGUUUGAGUCGAACUUAGCGGGGCGUUUGUCUGUGUGUUAUUGAAGCUGUUUUGUGUGUCAGAAGAUUUAUAUCUUAUAAGGGCGCGAGUUGUAUAAACGGGCCUAUAGCUCAGUUAGUCAGAGCGCACCCCUGAUAAGGGUGAGGUCUGUGGUGCAACUCCACAUAGGCCCACCAACUGAUGCGUGGUGUU